rnacentral:lncRNA from 1 species
GGGCCAAUCAUGAACAUACACGUACAAUCAGGCUCUUUCAGAAACCAAUCAUGAACACCACUGACUCAUGGAACAGGUCUCUAAAAAGCUUAUUUUCGUUUGAGGGAAGCAUCUUAUUUUUUAUCUGUCAUUUGGGUGACACUGUCAACUUGCUUUGCUGAGGCUAAAACCUGUGAUUUGACCAGUUUUGAGAUGGAUAACUUCACCAGCAACACAUGGGCUUCACUUGCUCUUCUGGAGAUGUUCGAUUUCAUCGAUGAUCUGAUCGAUGCUCUGCUCGAUGAUCGGAUGGAUGUUCAGACCGAAGCUCUGACCCAUGCUCUGAUCCAUGCUGGGCUCAAUGUUCAGAGCAAUGUUCGGAUCGAUUUUGGGAAACAUGCUCUGAUCGAUGAUCUGAUCGAUGCUCUGAUCAAUUUUCAGACUGAUGAUCUGAUGCAUACUCUGAUCGAAGCUCUGAUCAUUUUUCGUAUCGAAGCUCCGAUCAGUGUUUGGUUCAAUGCUUGGAUCCCUGCUCCGAUCCAUACUUUUACCCGUCUGCUGAGGGACCCCCUGAUUGAGAGCCUUCCUAUCUUCUAUCAGCAACGCAGAAAUCCUCUUCAGCUCUUCUUCUCCGCCAUGACAACCGAUCCAGGCCAGAAGCAAUGGGUAGACAAGGGCAGAUGCUCGGAGCGACCACAAAAAGACCAAGCUACUACUACUCCUCCUCCGGAUGUGUGGUCUUCAGCCUCCCCUUGGGGCGAGGACUAUAUCAAGGACCAGGGCCAGGACUAUAACAAGGACCAGGGCCAGGACUAUAACAAGGACCAGGGCCAGGACUAUAACAAGGACCAGGAGCAGGACUAUAACAAGGACCAGGACCAGGGCCAAGGUAACGGAUGGAGAAGGACUAUAACAAGGACCAGGGCCAGGACUAUAACAAGGACCAGGGCCAGGACUAUAACAAGGACCAGGGCCAGGACUAUAGCAAGGACCAGGGCCAGGACUAUAACAAGGACCAGGAGCAGGACUAUAACAAGGACCAGGACCAGGGCCAAGGCCGGUGGUAGCUGGUCCCCUACAGGAAGAUGAGGUGCCGGAGGUCCCUCCGUCCCCUCUGGACAUCGGGGAGGUCCCCGGCGUACAGCAUACGGGCCAUUCUGGACUCGAGACGCCGGGUGAGGGGCCUGCAGUACCUCGUGGACUGGGAGGAGUACGGUCCGGAGGAGAGGUGCUGGGUGCCGGCGGAGGACGUCUUGGACCCAUCCAUGUUGAAGGAAUUCCAUGGCCUCCGUCCGGAUCGCCCUGCGCCUCGCCCUCCGGGUCGUCCUCGAGGCCGGUGUCGGCACGCUGCAGGAGCCGCGUGUCGGGGGGAGGGGAACUGUCACGACUCCCACCGAAGGUGGCGCCCCCUCCUGCUCGGGUGGCGCUCGGCGGUCGUCGUCACCGGCCUACUAGCUGCCACUGAUUCCUUUUUUGUUUUCCCACUUUCUGUUACUGUUUGCACCCGUCCUUAGUUGGGUUGAUUAGCGGGGCUAUAAUAGCUAGCUGGCCCGCCUGCUCUUUGUGCGGGAUUGUUUCUCUGUUGUUUGCUUGUGUACAUGCUGAUUGUGUUUUUGCGCUAGUGCGUGGUUUUUGCGCCGUCUGUGUUUUCCCCUGUGUUUGGGGCACUUUGUUUUGUGUGCGCUCUCAUCGCUGUUUGGGGUGGCUUGUGUUUUCGCCAUUCGGCCCAUUAAAAGUCACUACCCUGUA